rnacentral:rRNA from 1 species
CAGUCGCCACGGUAAUACAGAGGGUGCAAGCGUUAAUCGGAAUUACUGGGCGUAAAGCGCGCGUAGGUGGUUUGUUAAGUUGGAUGUGAAAGCCCCGGGCUCAACCUGGGAACUGCAUCCAAAACUGGCAAGCUAGAGUACGGUAGAGGGUGGUGGAAUUUCCUGUGUAGCGGUGAAAUGCGUAGAUAUAGGAAGGAACACCAGUGGCGAAGGCGACCACCUGGACUGAUACUGACACUGAGGUGCGAAAGCGUGGGGAGCAAACAGGAUUAGUUACCCCCGUAGUCCCUGUCUCUUAUAC